ensembl:lncRNA
GGGAUGUGAAGACAUUAAACUAGUGCAGCUAGAUAGAAUAUUCAUUACUUGGGCCAGAGGUCAUUUAUAGAAACAAAAUAUUGAUUUAAUAGAUAAAUAGAAAUAUUUGACUCCAGAAAAGAAACAAGAGAGCUGUUGCAAUAAUAAAUAGCCAAUAUCAGAUCAUUAGAAUUGUUUUGUGAGCUAAUCUGAUUAUUAUGCAUUAUUUAAUGCUGAUGUUGUAGUCUGUCUUAUUGUUUAUUGAUAAAUGUACAUCAUUGCCUACAGGUUUAAUGCUUGAAAUGCUUAAUCACAGCACACAUCUAACCUCUCUCUCUCUCUGUCUCUCUCUCUCUCUCUAAUCCUCUCUUGCAUCUCCCCUCCCCUCUCUCUCUCUCUCUCUCUCUUUCUUUCUCUGCGCUGGUGCGUGUGCCGGCAGCUCCCCGUGAGUGUGUGUGUGUGUGUGUGUGGAUGCGUGAGGGAGGCACUAUGCAGUCAGAGCUCCACACACACAGAGCAUGCUUGUGAGUGCGGGCUCGGGCAAACAUGAGCCUUCCCAGCCCAGAGAUCGUCCACAGCAGCAGCCUGAACUCCCGUCUGAGCCCCCCUCUGCCCUCCCCCUCUCCUCUCUCCCUCUCUCGCUGCCUCUCUCUCUCCCUCUCCUCAUCUACUCUCGCCCUGCGCAGCCUCUUCCCCGCCACCUCUCCAGCACCAGCCGGGGGGACAUCUCCCGCUCUCUGCACGCCGACGUUUGCCAAGCGCCGGACGGCCCCAUGGAGGAACCCCAGGGCAACACACUGGUCGUCCGCAUAGGCAUCCCUGACCUGCAGCAAACGGUGAGUUCUGACAGCGCUCCAAACUCUCUCUCUCUCUGUCUUCUAUUGCCUGUCCUGUUCUCUUCUCUUUCAAGCAUGCACUUGAUUGUUCUCUUUCUUUUUGUACCUUUUUUAUCCUCGCUCUUUUUGCUCUUGAAUGCAACCCGUCUUUAUUAGUGCGACUGCGGCGGACUUUGAAAACUGGGCACUUGGAGAGAGACAGAAAAUCAAAGGUAGAUACAGUGACGGGUGGGUUAUCGGAGCUUUACUGUAAUUCACAGGGACUUUUUCCCGCCUGUAGCGAGGCUGUCAUACUUGUCAGUUGGGUUGCAGUGUAUUGUACCGCGUCCCCAGGGCCCUCUGGAGCGACAUAUGGUGCUGAUGGAUAUGAGAGUGCCGUGUUGAAGUGCAGUAACUCACCUGUUCCUUUUGGACAGAUACAGGUGUUACGGUUGCAGGUGGAAUAUUGAAUUAAAAAAAAAAAAGUCAGUAUUGCACACACACUGAAGCCAGGAUCUGGAGGUGUGCUUGAACUUUGAUUGCAUAUAAGCAUGGCUUUCAUUUCUUUUUCUAACCUGAGGUUAGUUUGGAUGUGUUGAGGUUGUUUAAACAUGAUUUGCAGCAACUGGAAGUCAUUUGAUUUUGGUGAGAUUUGGCGAUUUUGAUGCAUGACUGGACGAGAUGAGCGUCGGUUUUCAAUUUGUUCUCUGUAGAACCGGGCGACAG